rnacentral:rRNA from 1 species
UCAGAGGAAUUUGUCUAUUUAUCGUAAUUACUCGUUUAGUUUUACUUUUUUUUUAUUUUCUAUACCGCCGUCUUAAGAUAAAACUUUGAAAUCUUAUCUCAAGCUUUUUUGGUAAGUCAGGUCAAGGUGGAGAUUAUAUAAGAGUUUAGAUUAAUUAUUCAUAAAUAUUAUUUAAAGCUGGUUUUCCAAAGAAAACCAUAAAUAAAGAUUUGAAAGUAGUUUUUUAUUAAAAAUUUAAGACAAACUUGUUUUUAGGUGUACAUAUCGCCCGUCACCCUCGUCUAAAGAUGAGGUAAGUCGUAACAUAGUUAGUGUACUGGAAAGUGUACUAAGGGGAAUUAAAAGCUUUAGCGUUUCAUUUACACAGAAAAGAAUAUCACUAAAAUUUUGUUUUUAUUCUUUAUUAAAAUAAUAUAGAUUAUUAUUAAAUUCUUAUCUUUUUUUCAUUACCGUUAGGGUUUGUAAAUCAUAUUUAAGAAAUCUUCUUAGUUUACCUUUUGUAUCAGGGUGUUUCAAAAUUACUCUUUUUAAAGAUCUUCCCGAAAUAAAAUGAGCUACUUUGUUUUUUAUAUUUUGUAGCAAAAAAAUAGUAAAAUCCUAGUAGAAGUGAAAUUCCAUUCGCAUUUUUUUAUAUCUGGUUUUUUUAAAAAGUAAAACUACUUAAACCUAAAAAGGGAUAAUCUUUUUUAAAUAUUUUCUUUCUCUUUUCUUAUCUUUUUAGGAUUAGAAGUGUCUUUCUGUGUAAAAACUCCUUAUUAUUUUUUUUAUAAAUCUUUUUAUAAAAUUUGUAUCUUUUUAUAAAAAUAAUGAUCUAAUCAGUAAAGAUUCUUUAAAAUAUCUUUUUUUAAAAUAUUCAAAACACUUUUCUUAAUUUUUAUUUAUAAACUCGGCCGAGUUGUCUGUCUGUUUACCAAAAACAUUUCUGAAUGCUUAUUUUCUUUCAGUAAGGCCUGCUCAAUGAAACAUUAAAUAGCCGCAAUUACGUGCUAAGGUAGCAUAAUCACUUGCCUUAUAAUUUAAGGCUAGAAUGAAAGGUUCAACAUGAUAACUUCUUUAUUAAUAAAAAUUCUCUAACUUUACUUAUAAGUAAAAAGGCUUAUAUUUUUUAUGGGGACGACAAGACCCUGACGAGCUUUACUUUUCAGUUGCACUGGGGUGGUAAAAAACUAAAUCUUUUUUUCUCAUUAUUUUCUAACCUUACUAUAAGAUUUUUAAGUUACCGCAGGGAUAACAGCAUAAUUUUUUUCUAGAGACCUUAUCUAAAAAAAAGAUUGUGACCUCGAUGUUGAAUUAAUU